rnacentral:rRNA from 1 species
CAGUCGUGCUGGGGUGAAAUCAACCCUCUCGUCGGGAGACCACAUGUUGUGACGAGCCUCAAAACCGCCACGGUGUGUGAUAUCAAGAUGAGGGAGAGUACUUUCGUGUCCGCUGGUUAACAUCAAUUUCGAACGUCAAUAAAAAGGCUGGAGGGAUGUGGCUCCGUUCGGGAGUUGUUAUAACCUUUAGCGGUAAUGGUGGUGUUCGGGAUUGGAGG